rnacentral:rRNA from 1 species
AUGACAAAACUCACUGAAUAUUAUAGUCAAAGGGCGAAAAAGCAUUGGGCAACAAAAGGGGACAUAAAUACUUCUUACUUUCAUCAGGCUGUACUUAAAAGAAGAAGGAAGAACCAAAUUGUUUCCAUCCAAGAUAAUAGCAAUAUAACUCAUUUUAAACCUGAAAAUAUUGCUCAUACCUUUGUUCAGUAUUUCAAACAGAUUUGCAUGCCGUAUGUAAGCACACAAAUAAAUGCAGAUCAGCAGGAUUAUACAAAUAGUAUUCCAGACAAGUGGGAACUUUGGCAGAUUCUUAAGGAAAUGAAGAGGAAUGCUUCUCCAGGACCAGAUGGGUUAAAUGUGCCUUUUUUCUUAGCUGCCUGGGAUUGGAUCGGAGAUGAUGUGGUCAAUCUGGUAAGAAACUUCUAUGAAACCGGUAUCAUGCCAAAUCAUGUCAAUGACACCAACAUAGCUCUCAUUCCAAAGAAAUUAGCUUGCAUCACUCCUGCUGAUUUUAGACCCAUUAGUCUCUGUAAUGUUGUUUAUAAAAUCAUUGCAAAAUCAUUAGCACAGAGACUUAAACCACAUCUCAAUGAUUACAUUCACCCUUCACAACAAGCUUUCAUUCAGGGGAGGAGGAUUAGCAAUAACAUUAUUAUAGCUCAAUAA